rnacentral:rRNA from 1 species
UGGUGGGUUGCCUUGUCAGGUUGAUUCCGGUAACGAACGAGACCUCAGCCUGCUAAAUAGUCCGGCUUGGUUCUUCCAGGUUGCUGACUUCUUAGAGGGACUCUCGGCGACUAGCCGAUGGAAGUGUGAGGCGAUAACA